rnacentral:lncRNA from 1 species
ACACAUUCAGGGCAUAUAGCGAGACAAGCGAGACAGUGAAUAUAAUGAAAUAUAUAGAAUACAACGGGAUACAUGACAUACAAUAAAAAAAGGACAGUGAUACAAUGAAAUACAUGGAAUACAACAAAAUACAUUAAAUUACAAUGAAAAAAAGACAAUGAAUACAAUGAAAUACGUAAAAAUACAACGUGAUACGUUGAAAAUACAUUAUCUUUGUUCAAGAACCCACUACUUAGUUCAAGAACAAACCACAGUUUCCGACAAAUCCUCCGUCGAGCAAAAAUCUUGAAUCUCACUAUUCUCACGCAUCCUGUGCAUUGCUUUUGACACAUCAGUGCCAUCGUAGCUUUUGAAAAAUUUCCAUAAUUUCACCUUCUUUUGUUCAAGAGUAGGGACAAUCGAAAACAGAAUAAAAGGAAAGUGAACAGGUUUUCAGGCAUGGAACUUGCGAUUAGAUCAUGAUGCAGAUCUUCAUUUGCAGCUCAACUUGAAGGCAAUCGUUCUUUGAAUCAAUGAGGUGGUACUUCUCAUUGAUCCUUUUUUGUUAACAACAUCGGAAAGGCUUAUUUUAGAAGAAAAGGUUAACAUCGGAAAGGUUUAUUUUAGAAGAAAAGACCGUUGAUUUGAAUAGUGAAACAAAUUUGAGCCUGGGAAUCCCCGUUCCUUC